UGGGAAGGAUCAUUACUAAGUGCCCCGUUUCAGCUCCUCCCUCCGGGGGGUUAAAGUGGCUGUCACGGUAGCCUUAAGAUAGAACCCUUUGCUUUGUUUGGUACUGGUCUCAGAGAGGGUAUAGGGUGCGACUGACUGCGAUGGUUUGUUUACUCGAACCUGCGGAAGGAUCAUUACUGUGGGUCUUCUUUUGAAGCCCGCGAGAUAGCACCCUUUGCCUUUUAUGAGUACCUUUGUUUCCUCGGCAGGCCUACCUGCCAGUGGGGACCUAUCUAAACUCUUUGUAAUAGCAUCAAACGCCUGAUAACAUAACAAAUUAUCACAACUUUCAACAAUGGAUCUCUUGGUUCUGGCAUCGAUGAAGAACGCAGCGAAAUGCGAUAAGUAGUGUGAAUUGCAGAAUUCAGUGAAUCAUCGAAUCUUUGAACGCACAUUGCGCCCCUUGGUAUUCCAUGGGGCAUGCCUGUUCGAGCGUCAUUUCAAUCCUCAAGCUCUGCUUGGUGUUGGGUGUUUGUCCUGCCUGUUGUGCGUGGACUCGCCUUAAAAAUAUUGGCAGCCGACCCCCUCAGUUCGGAGCGCAGCAGAUUAAGCGCGACGAAGCUAGGUGUAACGGCACCCAGAAGCUUCUCCCCAGUUUGACCUCGGAUCAGGUAGGGAUACCCGCUGAACUUAAGCAU
rnacentral:rRNA from 1 species